rnacentral:rRNA from 1 species
AGCGAACGCUGGCGGCAGGCUUAACACAUGCAAGUCGAGCGGGCACUUCGGUGUCAGCGGCAGACGGGUGAGUAACACGUGGGAACGUACCCGUGGGUUCGGAAUAACGCUGGGAAACUAGCGCUAAUACCGGAUACGCCCUUUUGGGGAAAGGCUUGCUGCCGAAGGAUCGGCCCGCGUCUGAUUAGCUAGUUGGUGGGGUAAUGGCCUACCAAGGCGACGAUCAGUAGCUGGUCUGAGAGGAUGAUCAGCCACACUGGGACUGAGACACGGCCCAGACUCCUACGGGAGGCAGCAGUAGGGAAUAUUAGACACUGAGCGCAAGCCUGAUUCAGCCGUGCCGCGUGAGUGAUGAAGGCCUUAGGAUUGUAAAGCUCUUUUGUCCGGGACGAUAAUGACGGUACCGGAAGAAUAAGCCCCGGCUAACUUCGUG